rnacentral:rRNA from 1 species
GAUGAACGCUGGCGGCAUGCCUUACACAUGCAAGUCGAACGGCAGCAUGGAGAGCUUGCUCUCUGAUGGCGAGUGGCGAACGGGUGAGUGAUGCAUCGGAACGUACCGUGUAAUGGGGGAUAACGUAGCGAAAGUUACGCUAAUACCGCAUACGACCUGAGGAUGAAAGCAGGGGAUCGCAAGACCUUGCGUUAUACGAGCGGCCGAUGUCAGAUUAGCUAGUUGGUGAGGUAAAGGCUCACCAAGGCGACGAUCUGCAGCGGGUCUGAGAGGAUGAUCCGCCACACUGGGACUGAGACACGGCCCAGACUCCUACGGGAGGCAGCAGUGGGGAAUUUUGGACAAUGGGGGCAACCCUGAUCCAGCCAUGCCGCGUGAGUGAAGAAGGCCUUCGGGUUGUAAAGCUCUUUCGGCCGGGAAGAAAUCGCACAGGCUAAUACUCUGUGUGGAUGACGGUACCGGCAUAAGAAGCACCGGCUAACUACGUGCCAGCCGCCGCGGUAA